rnacentral:lncRNA from 1 species
CUGCUUUAAAAUGAGGUACUUUUCUUUCUCUCUUAAUUUGUAAUCCUUUUUUUCCUAUAUAAAAUAACAUCUCUAUCUUGUUGAAAUCUCUUUCUAACCUCUCUUUCCUAUAAAAUUACUCUCUUCUCUUCUUUAUCUCUCUAUUGGAAAUCUUUUUCUAACCUUUCUUUCCUAUAAAAUAACCCCCCUCUCCAACUCUCAGACCUCGAAAUCUCUUUCUAACUCUCAGGUCCUCUCCAUUUAUCAGUAUCUCUUCUUUCUUUUUCAUCUCCAU